rnacentral:misc_RNA from 1 species
GGAAUAUUGCACAAUGGGCGAAAGCCUGACGGAGCAACGCCGCGUGAGUGAUGAAGGUUUUCGGAUCGUAAAGCUCUGUUGCCAGGGAAGAACGUCUUGUAGAGUAACUGCUACAAGAGUGACGGUACCUGAGAAGAAAGCCCCGGCUAACUACGUGCCAGCAGCCGCGGUAAUACGUAGGGGGCAAGCGUUGUCCGGAAUUAUUGGGCGUAAAGCGCGCGCAGGCGGCUCUUUAAGUCUGGUGUUUAAUCCCGAGGCUCAACUUCGGGUCGCACUGGAAACUGGAGAGCUUGAGUGCAGAAGAGGAGAGUGGAAUUCCACGUGUAGCGGUGAAAUGCGUAGAGAUGUGGAGGAACACCAGUGGCGAAGGCGACUUUCUGGACAAUAACUGACGCUGAGGCUCGAAAGCGUGGGGAGCAAACAGGA